UGAGUGGCGAACUGGUGAGUAACACGUGGGAAACCUGCCCAGAAGCGGGGGAUAACACCUGGAAACAGAUGCUAAUACCGCAUAACAACUUGGACCGCAUGGUCCGAGUUUGAAAGAUGGCUUCGGCUAUCACUUUUGGAUGGUCCCGCGGCGUAUUAGCUAGAUGGUGRGGUAACGGCUCACCAUGGCAAUGAUACGUAGCCGACCUGAGAGGGUAAUCGGCCACAUUGGGACUGAGACACGGCCCAAACUCCUACGGGAGGCAGCAGUAGGGAAUCUUCCACAAUGGACGAAAGUCUGAUGGAGCAACGCCGCGUGAGUGAAGAAGGGUUUCGGCUCGUAAAACUCUGUUGUUAAAGAAGAACAUAUCUGAGAGUAACUGUUCAGGUAUUGACGGUAUUUAACCAGAAAGCCACGGCUAACUACGUGCCAGCAGCCGCGGUAAUACGUAGGUGGCAAGCGUUGUCCGGAUUUAUUGGGCGUAAAGCGAGCGCAGGCGGUUUUUUAAGUCUGAUGUGAAAGCCUUCGGCUCAACCGAAGAAGUGCAUCGGAAACUGGGAAACUUGAGUGCAGAAGAGGACAGUGGAACUCCAUGUGUAGCGGUGAAAUGCGUAGAUAUAUGGAAGAACACCAGUGGCGAAGGCGGCUGUCUGGUCUGUAACUGACGCUGAGGCUCGAAAGUAUGGGUAGCAAACAGGAUUAGAUACCCUGGUAGUCCAUACCGUAAACGAUGAAUGCUAAGUGUUGGAGGGUUUCCGCCCUUCAGUGCUGCAGCUAACGCAUUAAGCAUUCCGCCUGGGGAGUACGGCCGCAAGGCUGAAACUCAAAGGAAUUGACGGGGGCCCGCACAAGCGGUGGAGCAUGUGGUUUAAUUCGAAGCUACGCGAAGAACCUUACCAGGUCUUGACAUACUAUGCAAAUCUAAGAGAUUAGACGUUCCCUUCGGGGACAUGGAUACAGGUGGUGCAUGGUUGUCGUCAGCUCGUGUCGUGAGAUGUUGGGUUAAGUCCCGCAACGAGCGCAACCCUUAUUAUCAGUUGCCAGCAUUAAGUUGGGCACUCUGGUGAGACUGCCGGUGACAAACCGGAGGAAGGUGGGGAUGACGUCAAAUCAUCAUGCCCCUUAUGACCUGGGCUACACACGUGCUACAAUGGAUGGUACAACGAGUUGCGAACUCGCGAGAGUAAGCUAAUCUCUUAAAGCCAUUCUCAGUUCGGAUUGUAGGCUGCAACUCGCCUACAUGAAGUCGGAAUCGCUAGUAAUCGCGGAUCAGCA
rnacentral:rRNA from 1 species